UCUACAGUUAAAUUGUGCUAAUUUGCCAUCCUCCAAAAUUAAGGUAGAAGAAUACCUUAAAUAGUCUUUGUUUUGAAUCUACAAUCUCUUCAUUAGAAACAUCUACAAAUGCAGUAAAUUGAUCAAUGGCAUGGUUAUCCUCUCAUACAAAGGAGAUACAUCCACAUUGUCAGUGUCAACACUGAGGAAGAAAUGGAGCAGCCAACUGUUCAACUGAUCAGAGUAUUUAAUCCACUAAUCAAAGAGAGCGACACAUUUAGGGGAGAGGAUCUUCCUAUUAUAAAUACCCUAUAUGCAUUUUUGAAGGUGCUUAAAUAAUUUUAUUUGAAGGAUAUAUAUAUGAACAUAAAUUUUAGCCUAUAUGACUUGAUGUGUGCCAUAUAAGUGCACACUGGAGAUAACAUAUUCCCUAUUAUUUUUAUAUU